CAUUAAAUACCCCUUCCAUUGCGUACUCAACUUCCCCUCUCCUUCCUCCUCAGUCUCUCACCCCCCCCCCCAAGACGGCAAUAUGUACCAACGGAGAGCCACCUGUUUUCUCGUCCUCGCCAUCGUCCUCCUUCUCCCGCCCCUACCAGCUUCCUAUCCAUGUGUGGCCGCCGCACAUGGCCCACCGCAUCAUGCUCCAGGUGGUGACGCUGGUGCGUGGGGUCAAACUGACGGCCUGCAUCGUCAAGGGGGAAAGGUGUCAGGGAUGGGAGCCGCGAGGCGCUUGGGACGGAGGAUACCGCUGAAGGACCCUCCCUCGCCAAUCCCUAAUGAAAACUCGGGGGUGGUGAUUCCCCUGCCGCCGCCGCCACCGCUGCCGAUCAAUUGACAAGUGUUUGGAGUCUGGGUACGAGCAUAUGCCAUGGUGACUUCCGUGCACCUCUGGUCUCUUCCUAAUGUGUUAGAAGAAUAAUCUUGCUGCUGUGAAAUAAGUCGUCAUGCUUCAAAGUCUUAAAAUGUAUUGUUCACUUCUCUAUAUCAAUUUGGACUUCUGAGGUAAAUGGCGGAAAAAUAAAUUUAAUAUAGUCAGAGGCAAGUUGUCUCUAAGAUCCGGUCGACUAGAUAGUAAUAAGUUAAUUAUAGCAUACAUAUAUAAUUUUCCUGUGUGGAACAUUUUUUUUGGUAAUGAUGAACAUUAAACUAGCGGGCACGUGAUGAUAGCUGACAAUCUGUAAUCAUUGUCCAAGAACCAUCGUACACAGAAAAAUAUUUUCAAACUUUACGCUAUCUUAUAUUAUUUGUAUCGGCUCUAGAAAAAAAAUCAAGGAGAUUGAGAAAACCAUUAAAACAUUAAUCAAAUAAUAGUAAUUUGACGAAUAUGCAAUCCAUUUUACAUCAUGUGUAUAUCUUACCAACGUUUUUGCGUUUAAUAAAAAUGAAAAAAAAGCUCAAUCUGUGAAGAAGUAAUGGAUCUCAAAGUUGAAGAUAAAAAGAUUGUAGUAAUUAGCAUUUUUUUUUCUUCCCUUUUAUUGUGGCGCUUUUAAGAUGCGCUCCCUCCGUAUCAAAAAUAAGCGUCGCUGAUUUAGUACUAGUACAAAUAGAGGGAUUAAUUAAUUGAGGAAGUAAUCAUUUAAUUCCUUAAUUAUGUAAUGUGCAAAGUCCGUAUAUUGAGCUUACAAAGGAAUUAAUUGAUUCUUAUUACCUCCCAAGAUGUUAGACACAUACGAGCCAUUGGAUAGGGCAAAAUUAAUGGCUCAUAUUAACUUGGACUAUCUUAAAAAAAUUCAUUUCAUAAAUGAAAAGAUGCCGCUGCAUGCCUCGCUUACUCACGGGUGCAUCACGAGGGAGCCAGCAGGAAGAAACGGCUGCGAAUGCUUCGAGGCAAUAUCCAGCGCCCCUGGUGGAGGAUUCAAGUGAAAACACCACACCCGUACGUCGAGCAGCCCACAAUCUCACACCCGCAGGCAGAGAUAGUCACAGUCUCUCAGGGAGCAAACAGUGUCUCAGUGGAGUGCUUCCUAGCUUACUCGAGCUGUGAACCCGUGAUCUCGCCAACUGAAGCCGUCCCUGACUGUGAUCCGCCCACACGGCUUGAUGGGCCGAAGGAUGGCCACCUGGUUGCUCGUCGCCGCCGCCGUCAUCCUGCCCCUGCUGGCGGCCGCCACGCAUCGCCUGCCGCGGCAUGCUCCAGGUGAUGGCUUCGGCGCGUGGGGUCGACCGGAGGGGCUGCGCCGUGGAGGGACGGUGCUGGGUGUGGGAGCUGCCAGGCGCCUGGGCCAGAGGACGCCGGUGAAGGCGCCUCCCUCGCCGGACCCCAAUCCCGGCAAGGGCACGUCGACGCGUCGGCUGCCCACGCGCCUCCCCUCUCCUCCCUCCAUCAAAGAAUAGUCUUGGACGGUUUCUCAACAGCAUGCAGAAUAAUGAAAACGGCAAUAGAUAACCAUUGCCAAAAUAAACUAUCUUCCCUUUGUUUUGUCAAGCACAUUUCUAAGUCAUCUCAUAACAGUGCAGAGUUUUUCCAAAA